rnacentral:rRNA from 1 species
UACGGAGGGGGCUAGCGUUGUUCGGAAUUACUGGGCGUAAAGCGCACGUAGGCGGCUUUGUAAGUUAGAGGUGAAAGCCCAGGGCUCAACCCUGGAAUUGCCUUUAAGACUGCAUCGCUUGAACAUCGGAGAGGUAAGUGGAAUUCCGAGUGUAGAGGUGAAAUGCGCAGAUAUCAGGAGGAACACCAAUUGCGAAGGCAGCUCGCUGGGACGUAACUGACGCUGAGACGCGAAAGCGUGGGGAGCAAACAGG